rnacentral:misc_RNA from 1 species
GGUCGAUAGUAUCAAGAUCUUUGUUUAGUACAUAAGUUCCCCUAGCUGCAGCAUCAAGUUGCUUGGCAUGUUCAUGCUCUUUCUUAGUGAGCUUUCGAGGAAGGUUUAUGACGGUGCAAAAGGGGCAGGCGACAAUGGCAACAAGGGUAUGAGUUGCUAUCGCCACAGCAGCAAAAGUAACAGUUACAACGGAACCGAUA